GCAGGAAUGAAGAGACCAGCUCUGGAUGUUGCCUGGAGGGAGAAGGGCAGAGAGAAGGCACCCAUCGCACACCCACAGUCCCUAGCCCCGGCUCUACCGCCCCACGCGUCAGCAGAGGAUGAUGUUCUUCCGUGGGGAGGUGGGUCGCAGCCGGCAGAGUCCCCUCCACCACCACCCCUCGGACCCCACGUCGGGGAAGCCCAAAUGCCGAGCUCCUGGGGGAGCAGCCAGAGCCUUGUCAUAUUCCCGGAAACAGCCAGCCUCCGUGGGGCAGCCUGGCCUCUGGUCCCUUUCUUGGUGGAAACCACCUCCUGGUGGACCUCCAGGCCGUCCACCUGAGAUGACCAAGCAGGCAGAGGAAGAGGGGAAGACACAGAGCCUCUUGACCUGGAACUCCGAGGAACACCUGCUCCCUGCAUCACUUCAGCAUUAUCCACAAUAGCCAAAAAGCAAAACAACCC